rnacentral:piRNA from 1 species
UUAUUCUCAGGAUGAUAUGGUUUGAACCAC